ensembl:lncRNA
GCCAUUAUAACCCCAUAACCGUCAUUGAAACCCCAUAACCGUCAUUGGAACCCCAUAAGUAACCGUCACCCCAUAACCAUCACCCCAUCAGGUACCCCAAACCCCAUAACUGACACCCCAUAACCGUCACCCCAUAACUCACUGCACCCCAUAACCAUCAGACACCCCAUAACCGUCAUUGUAACCCCAUAACCGCCAUUAUAACCCCAUAACCGUCAUUGGAACCCCAUAAGUAACCGUCACCCCAUAACCAUCACCCCAUCAGGUACCCCAAACCCCAUAACUGACACCCCAUAACCGUCACCCCAUAACCGUCACCCCAUAACCGUCAUUAUAACCCCAUAACUGCCAUUAUAACCCCAUAACCGCCAUUAUAACCCCAUAACCGCCAUUGGAACCCCAUAACCGUCACCCCAUAACCGUCACCCCAUUGUCCCCCCCCACCCCAUAACUGCCCCCCAUACCCCACUGUGACCCCAUAACUGCGCCCCAUAUCCCACUGUGACCCCAAAACCCCACUGUGCCCCAUUGUGACCCCAUAACUCCACCCCAUACCCCAUUGUGACCCCAUAACUGACCCCAUAGUGACCCCAUAACUCCACCCCAUAUCCCAUUGUAACCCCAUAACUGCACCCCAUACCCCACUGUGACCCCAUAACUGACCCCAUUGUGCCCCCAUACCCCAUUGUGACCCCAUAACUCCGCCCCAUACCCCACUGUGACCCCAUAACUCCGCCUUAUACCCCAUUGUGACCCCAUAACUCCACCCCAUAUCCCACUGUGACCCCAUAACCGACCCCAUAUUGACCCCAUACCCCAUUGUGACCCCAUAACUGUGCCCCAUAUCCCACUGUGACCCCAUAACUGUGCUCCAUAUCCAAUUGUGACCCCAUAACUCCACCCCAUACCCCAUUGUGACCCCAUAUCCCGUUGUCACCCCAUAACUGUG